rnacentral:rRNA from 1 species
CCUACGGGUGGCAGCAGUGAGGAGUAUUGGUCAAUGGACGAGAGUCUGAACCAGCCAAGUAGCGUGAAGGAUGACUGCCCUAUGGGUUGUAAACUUCUUUUAUAUGGGAAUAAAACGUUCCACGUGUGGGAUUUUGUAUGUACCAUAUGAAUAAGGAUCGGCUAACUCCGUGCCAGCAGCCGCGGUAAUACGGAGGAUCCGAGCGUUAUCCGGAUUUAUUGGGUUUAAAGGGAGCGUAGGUGGAUUGUUAAGUCAGUUGUGAAAGUUUGCGGCUCAACCGUAAAAUUGCAGUUGAAACUGGCAGUCUUGAGUACAGUAGAGGUGGGCGGAAUUCGUGGUGUAGCGGUGAAAUGCUUAGAUAUCACGAAGAACUCCGAUUGCGAAGGCAGUUCACUGGACUGCAACUGACACUGAGGCUCGAAAGUGUGGGUAUCAAACAGGAUUAGAUACCCUUGUAGUC